rnacentral:rRNA from 1 species
GACGAACGCUGGCGGCGUGCUUAACACAUGCAAGUCGAACGGAAAGGCCCUGCUUUUGUGGUGGGCUCGAGUGGCGAACGGGUGAGUAACGUGUGAGUAACCUGACCUUGACUUUGGGAUAACUUAAGGAAACUGGGGCGAAUCCCGGAUAGGAGGUUCUGCUGCAUGGUGGGGGUUGGGAAGUUUGUGCGGUUGGGGAUGGUCUCGGUGGUUAUCGGGUUGUGGGUGGGGUAGUGGCUUACCCAGGCUUUGACGGGUAGCUGGCCUGCUUGGGUUACCGGCCACAUUGGGCCUGAACUGCGGCCCGGACUGCUGCGGGAGGCAGCAGUGGGGAAUAUUGCACGAUGGGCGGAAGCCUGAUGCAGCAACGCCGCGUGCGGGAUGACGGCCUUCGGGUUGUAAGCAGCUUUCGCCUGUUACGAAGCGUGAGUGACGGUAAUGGGUAAAGAAGCACCGGCUAACUACGUG